rnacentral:rRNA from 1 species
UAACGGCUUCCAGUAACACGUAGUCAACCUACCCUAUGGACAAGAAUAAUCUCGGGAAACUAGGGCAUAAUUCUUGAUAGAUCAUAAUGCCUGGAAUGGUUUAUGGUUAAAAUGAUUCGUCGCCAUAGGAUGGGACUGCGGCCUAUCAGCUUGUUGGUGAGGUAAUGGCCCACCAAGGCGAUUACAGGUACGGGCUCUGAGAGGAGAAGCCCGGAGAUGGGUACUGAGACACGGACCCAGGCCCUAUGGGGCGCAGCAGGCGAGAAAACUUUGCAAUGUGCGAAAGCACGACAAGGUUAAUCCGAGUGAUUUCUGCUAAAGAAAUCUUUUGCCAGUCAUAAAACCACUGGUGAAUAAGGGGUGGGCAAGUUCUAGUGUCAGCCGCCGCGGUAAAACCAGCACCUCAAGUGGUCAGGAUGAUUAUUGGGCCUAAAGCAUCCGUA